GGACCCGUGGUGUAGUGGUAAGCGUUAUUGCCUCUCACCCAGUCGGCCUGGGUUCGAUCCCAGAAGGUCCC
rnacentral:tRNA from 1 species